rnacentral:rRNA from 1 species
AGACGACGCUGGCGGCGUGCUUAACACAUGCAAGUCGAACGGAACUUCUUGGAUAGAGGCUUCGGCCAAUUGAAUUGAAGUUUAGUGGCGGACUGGUGAGUAACGCGUGAGGAACCUGCCUUUCAGAGGGGUCAAAGGAGCAAUCCGGUUUGAGAUGGGCUCGCGUCCGAUUAGCUAGUUGGCGGGAUAACAGCCCACCAAGGCGACGAUCGGUAGCCGACCUGAGAGGGUGAUCGGCCACAUUGGAACUGAGAUACGGUCCAGACUCCUACGGGAGGCAGCAGUGGGGAAUAUUGGGCAAUGGGCGAAAGCCUGACCCAGCAACGCCGCGUGAGGGAAGAAGGGUUUCGGCUCGUAAACCUCUAUCCUAUGGGACGAAGAAGUGACGGUACCAUAGGAGGAAGCCCCGGCUAACUACGUG